rnacentral:rRNA from 5 species
GCGACCCCAGGAUGGGCGAG